UACGUAGGGGGCAAGCGUUGUCCGGAUUUAUUGGGCGUAAAGAGCUCGUAGGCGGUUUGGUAAGUCUGGUGUGAAAUCUCCACGCUCAACGUGGAGGGGCCACCCGAUACUGACAUGACUGGAGUCCGGUAGAGGAGUGUGGAAUUCCCGGUGUAGCGGUGAAAUGCGCAGAUAUCGGGAGGAACAUCCGUGGCGAAGGCGGCCACCUGGACCAACAUUGACGCUGAGGCACGAAAGCGUGGGGAGCAAACAGG
rnacentral:rRNA from 1 species